rnacentral:rRNA from 1 species
GGGGCGCAGCAGGCGCGAAAACUUUACAAUGCGGGCAACCCGUGAUAAGGGAACCUCGAGUGCCUGUACAUGCAGGCUGUCUGGGUGUCUAAAACACACCCAAAGAAAGGGCCGGGCAAGACCGGUGCCAGCCGCCGCGGUAAUACCGGCGGCUCGAGUGGUGGCCACUUUUAUUGGGCUUAAAGCGUUCGUAGCUGGGUUGUUAAGUCUCUUGGGAAAUCUGGCAGCUUAACCGUCAGGCGUCUAAGGGAUACUGGCAAUCUUGGAACCGGGAGAGGUGAGGGGUACUUCGGGGGUAGGGGUGAAAUCCUGUAAUCCUCGAGGGACCACCUGUGGCGAAGGCGCCUCACCAGAACGGCUUCGACAGUGAGGGACGAAAGCUGGGGGAGCAAACCGGAUUAGAUACCCGGGUAGUCCCAGCCGUAAACGAUGCGCGUUAGGUGUGUCGAUGACCACGAGUCAUCGAGGUGCCGAAGGGAAACCGUGAAACGCGCCGCCUGGGAAGUACGGUCGCAAGGCUGAAACUUAAAGGAAUUGGCGGGGGAGCACCACAACAGGUGGAGCCCGCGGUUUAAUUGGACUCAACGCCGGGAAGCUCACCGGAUAGGACAGCAGAAUGAUUGCCGGGCUGAAGACUCUGCAUGACUAGCUGAGAGGAGGUGCAUGGCCGUCGUCAGUUCGUACUGUGAAGCAUCCUGUUAAGUCAGGUAACGAGCGAGACCCA